GGCGCUCGCUGCAGGCACAUGGUGGAGGGGGGUCACCAAGCACAGCAACCAGCAUCAGUCAGAUUUUAAUGCUGUACAUAAAAAAUAUAGUUAAUGUUAAAAAAAAAAAACAACACCUGACAACAGUUGACCUUGUUAGAGAUGGAAUCAGAGCAGGGAUGAGGGUGGACGGUGAGGCCACGCUGGAGAAGCGUGGGGUCGAGUCAUCCUCUGUUUUCACAGUUCAUACUCCCUGACUUCCCAGGUUCUUGCUUCCAGAGGAAGAACUGAAAUCCUUAUUUUUACUAAGGUAACAUGACAGCGAUGUUAAGAGAUCUCUAUAGAAGGAAGAAAUUCAUCCGCCAACACCUCGCCGAGCUCUCGAAGCUCCUGUCAUUUGACCACAUGUCCUUCAGAGCAUGAUCUCUGCACUUUCUGUCCUGGCAGAAAGACCAAUCCCUCUUCAGCUCUUACCACUUAGCUUUCUAUUGUAAUACAGCGUCCACAUCGCCAUACAGACUUCACGUCUGAUGCUUAGCAGCGCUGUGAUGCUCCCAUGCUUUUGCUGUGCCUUGAUUUUACUCACCAGACCGAUGUUGGGGAGAAAGUCGGGCCAGACCACGGUGCCAAGCAUGGCUCUGUUAACGGUCUUCACCUCACUGUCCACGCAUCCCCCUCUGGCAGCGUUGGCUUCAACCCAAGCCCACCCGGCUCGCACGAGUGACCCUACCCCGCACCCCCUUGGUCGUGGCCAUUUGCCCCGGACGUGGGCCCCUCACGCCAGAGACUGAAUGACCCGGUGGCUGAGUCACUGAGAGAUGAGCAGCUAGAGUGAAGGCGUCAGAACCUCUCUUGGUGAAGUUUCUAGAUUUGCCCUGCAUUUCUGACCUCCUGGGCCUUGACUGUUUAGGUUGACUCAGGAUUCUGAGAGCGAGCUCUGGGUCCUUGUAAUCAACUUUCCCCCAGAGCUGCUUUGGAGAGGGCUCUGCUGCUGAUCUAACCAGCCCCGGCCCCAUCUGGUUUGUCUGAUUCUCCGAUGACGUGUGUCAGAAGAGGAUAAAUCCAAGCGCAGGUGUAAAGCCCCCCACACGGGGCUGGAUCAGUGCUCCCUGUAUCUCUUUCUAAACUGUUGAAUGUUUGAGUUCUUUUUAGCUCCUCACAAUCUUAAACUGAAACUCGUUCCUUGCCUCCCUGAAGAUGAGUCCUUUAGUCUUGGCUUCAAGAUUACUGGAAGAAAGGACAUGUUCAUGUUGUGUGUUGUCACUUUAUUUCCAAAAGGAUUAUAUCCAUUUGCACCGUCACCAGCAAUAUAUGAGAGUUUGUCCUCUUCUGCCCAUUCUGCCAAACACGGACCAGAAAGGGGCAUUAUUUUUAAUUCAUUAGUGUAUUUAUUUGUUCAGAAAAACACUUACUGAUCACUUACAUGCCAGCCAUAGUUCAAUACAUAUAAAACAGUAAUUUAUUUUAAUUUGCGUGCCUUUGAAUAUUAGGGGGGCUUCGUGUUGUCUGUGCUUACUGAAAGUCCCUCCUGUGAAAGUGAUUUGUUCUUUUGUCUCAAAUCGAUUGGUAGAUUCUGUUCAACAAAAAUUGUGUGCUGGACACUUGUUAUAAAUGACGAGGAAGACGUUAUUCAAGAGAGCAAGGGGGGCGCCUGGGUGGCUCAGUUGGUUAAGCGACUGCCUUCGGCUCAGGUCAUGAUCCUGGAGUCCCUGGAUCGAGUCCCGCAUCGGGCUCCCUGCUCGGCGGGGAGUCUGCUUCUCCCUCUGACCCUCCUCCCUCUCAUGUGCUCUCUCUCAUUCUCUCUCAAAUAAAUAAAAUCUUUAAAAAAAAAAGAGAGAGCAAGGGUGUGCCCCCAACGCUGAACGCAGCAAACAGCAGGGAGGCCCGAGGGCUGGGUGAGAGGAACCUGUUGGAAGGCUGGGCGUUCUUGCUAAACUGGCCACACGGGAUUCUGACCGAAGGCAGGCCCAGGACUUGGGUGUCAAGGGUCGGGGGCAGGUACUGGACUGACUUAGCAGGGUCCUCUGCCAAAACUGGGCUCAGCAGGCCAAGCCAGGGGCCUGGUUGCGAUGAAUCCUCAGGGGAGCCUGACUAGUUUGGUCAAGGACAGGAGUCUGCCCUCUCCUAGUUUUGCAAUGUGUGUGUCCUUUGUUGAGCACAGUGUGAAAUCUGGCGAAGUGUUUCCGUGUGGUGAGGCCGUGAGUUGACCCUCAACUGGACUGGGUGAGUCCCAGGCUCAGUGCCGAGGGCGCGCUGCGGUGGGCAGGGACCGGGCUCUUCACCGGGGGUCCUGGGGAUGCAGGUCUGAAAGGAGAAGCCUGAAGAGGAGAGUAGCUGAGUCGGACCCUCCAGUUCAUUUGGGGCUGGGGGCCGAGGAGGAGGAUGAUGACCGCAGCGACAAGAAACUCGGCUCGGACUUGAGAACCUCCACACCUUCCCAUUACCUGCCUCCCUGGAGCCUCGCACCCGCCCCGCCGCGGAGCCAGCCGAGGGGGCAGGGGCUGGCCGGCCGUGGCAGGGCCAGCGAGGGCUCCGCCUCCUUCACGGGACCCUGUCGGUGAACUGUUCCUUCUCUCCACCGUCCAGCCCCGAGAGCUAGGGACUGCUGGGGCAGCCAGGUGGCCAGACCCUCUAAAGCAACCAGGGUCUCCUGUUUAGAGUCCGCCCAACAGUUAGGGGUGUGUCCACCAGGGGGCAGCAGAGACCGGCCUCUGCCCGCGGGCUGCCUCCCUGGGGUGGGAGUCCAUCAGCCCCUGUCCUAAGGAACCCGUCACUCCGUCUGCACCUGCCGGGCAUCUGUGCACGUGUGAACACACCUCUUCCUCCGACUGCCUCUUUGGAACAUGAAAGACUCCGAUCCUUGUGUCGUCCACACGUACUAAUGCAGUUCGUCCUCGCAGUGACCCUAGGCAGGCAAUGCUGGGUUGUUCCCCCCGCUUUACACACAAGGAAACCGAGGCACGGAGAAGUGGAGGGUUUUUCCCAAGGUCACACUGCUAGGGAUUGACAAAGGCAGGAUUCGAACCCGGGCAGUCAGGCUCUGCCUGGGAAGGGGCUGCUCCCACACGCGGCCAGUCCCCUCACUCACCCAGGACUCACUGAACACCAGCGGGCUCCUGGAACUGCGAGGGCGACGGGUAAGGUGACCAAGGCAGGCGAGUCCCUCUCUCGGCGGAGACAGUGCGGUAAAGAUGCUCGGUGUCGUUCACCACCUUCUGAGAACCCACUGUGUGCAGGCUGUUGGCACACUGGAUUUCGCUCACUCCCCCGAGCCACGGGCUUGCGUGGGGCCGGUUAGAGCGCAGGUCUGCAGUUGGACCCCCCAGCCCCCCACUGCCAGGCUGCGGCACUGUGGGCACGUUCAGUAAGCACCCGGCCCGGGCCCAGGGGGCUGAAAGUUCCCGCCUCCUGGGAGAAUAACGGGGUUUAAGUGAGCAAAGCCACGGGAAGCACGCAACACGACGUUCCGUGUGUGCCGGCUGUUCCCACGUUUGGGGUUCUUAGGUGAGUGAACAGAGGCUCGUGGGGGUUGACCCAACUGUCCCAGUCACAGCUGGGGGGAGGCACCAGGGCUGCCUGGGGGGCUGUGCUCGCCCUGUAGCACAGCUCCCUAAGGGGUGGCAGAGGGGAUGUCAGAGACUGCCUCGGAAGCAGGACGGCCGUCUGCCCCGCACGCUGCAUGCAGCGCGGUGGCCUGCGUCCUUGGUGUUGCACUCCCAGAUCCUUGUGUGGCCCAGGGCCUGCACUCUGGCAGGGCCUUCAUCCCGCAAAGGGCGAAGACCAGGGCCAGGUGGUCAAAUCCCAAAUCCUGGGUGGACCACAGGCUGACGAUGCCAUCUGCAGGACCAGGGAUUCUAGUGGGCCCGUUCAGGAGGUCCCACCAAGUAUCACAGGCCAGAAACUCCGGGGCCUCCUCCACCUGGGCCACCUGAGCUGUAGCCGAGGCCGCUUGGUCGACUCCCCACAGGGCUCGUUGACCUGACCCACGCUUCUCCGUGCGUGCGCCUGCCGCUCAGAUUCCAUCCAGCCCUGGAUGGACUAGAGCGGCCCGGCCGGCAGGGUGUUCCAGGCUUGGAGCGCGGUGCCUGGCAAACCCAGGGCAGUUCUCUGUCCUCCAGAGAAGCCUGCCGAAGUUUUCGAGGUGAAGCAUCCGAGCCCACAGAUUUGGGGCCCAGAGCAGCGUGGGCAGGGCGAGCUGCCGUCUGGAAUGUCAGGAAUUCCUGGGGACAUGUGGUCCGCUCUGCAUCUGCUCUUCCCGGCCAGGCCAGCCGGCAUUCUUCAUCCCGGCAGUGAGGCUUCUCGCCGUGGGCUUGGAUACCCGGGGGCCUCUUUGAUCCUCGCCUCCUGCCUCAGCCCUGACUUGGAUGACUUUGAGUGCCAUAUUUGAUGUCCCUCGCCCUCACCUCUUCUAUAAACGGGCGAUGAGUUCCGCCAGGCCUGGAAUUUACAGACCAGGAUCCGGAAGAAACAGAGCAAGAGGGACUCCUUUCCAAAGCCAAGAGGGGUCCCUAAACCCCUAGGAUAGAACGAACCUUCCUUACAGACUCCCUGAGGUCUUUGCUCCUCCGUUAGAGCCCCUUGAGGGUAAGGGUGGUAGUUUCUGCCUUUGGGCACCUACUUCCAGUUUUGAAUCCGUGUAUGUAUCUGUCACUUCUCUGUGCCACAGUUGGACCAGACCAGCGUUCCCCAAAGGAAUUUAAACAAGGGAACAGCCCCUGAGGAGGAGUUUGCCACUGCCUGCUAGCUCUUUGGGCUUUUGAGAUGCGGAACCAGGAGGGAGGAAGAGGGAUUCUGCCGCUGACUCCACCAGCGAGGGAGCGGGGUGUCGCCACAAACUUCGGAAACAGAAUCUCAACGAGGACUGAUAAUUCAUCAAAGCAGACCAAUGUUUACGCCCAAGCUUGGCAGCCUGGAGGAUGUCAUUGGUGGAUGGCGCCAUCGGCCUUUGAAUGGAAGCCCCUAGCAAAGCAUCUUACGCCGCCAGCCGGGAACCCGCUGGGGGCUCUCGGGAGCCACACAGGGCCGAGUGGGGCUCCUCACCCUGAGUCCUCGUCCCAGUAGAAG